CCGGACGGUACACUUUCCGAUGAAAUUCGAAAACAGAGUGGCCGGAUGAACGAACCGUUGAUCGGGUAUUAUACGAAGCAAAUGGUACAAGGAUUAGAGUACUUACAUUCAAGAGGCGUAGCACACUGUGACAUAAAGGGGCAAAACAUUUUAUUAGGUGAAACCGGUGCCAAACUUGCUGAUUUUGGAUGUUCCAGGUGGAUUGAUCCGGCGGAGAGGGACGGAGG
rnacentral:misc_RNA from 1 species